ACUGCACGUGUCCUUCUCCAAGCGAGCUCAAUUCAAGCUCUCACUCUCCAGACCCAUCCCCCUUCCUCUUCUCUGCAAAAUUUUCCCAAUUUCCCGAGAAGAUUCAGCUGCAAAUCCCAAUUUUCCCCGAGAAAACCCGCUCUCCACACGUCUCCUCGACCUCCUAAAGCUCAUGCUGUCCAAAUCACCAAAAUGACCCUAUCUCCUUCCCUCUCCAUCCCCAGCCCCUCGCCCAUCUCCACUAAAAUCAUCAAAUCCAAACACACCUUCCCAUUCCCAAUCCUUCCUUCCCACCGCAGACUAGUCUCAUUCUCUAGCGACCGGAAAGCCUAUUCCGGCGCCGGGAGAGCCAGAGCUAAGCCGAAAGAACUCGUCCUCGGCAACCCUUCCGUAGUCGUCGAGAAAGGCAAGUACAGUUACGAUGUCGAAACCCUAAUUAACAAACUAAGCAGCUUACCUCCACGCGGCAGCAUAGCAAGAUGUCUCGACGUUUUCAAAAACAAGCUUUCGCUAAACGACUUCGCUCUGGUCUUCAAGGAAUUCGCGCAGCGCGGUGAUUGGCAAAGGUCGUUACGGCUCUUCAAGCAUAUGCAGCGUCAAAUAUGGUGUAAGCCAAAUGAGCAUAUUUAUACAAUUAUGAUUAGCUUGUUAGGCCGCGAAGGCCUCCUCGAAAAAUGCAGCGAUAUUUUCGAGGAAAUGGGUGCGCACGGAGUGUCACGCAGUGUGUUUUCCUACACUGCAUUGAUUAAUUCCUACGGCCGGAAUGGUAAGUAUGAGGUCUCUCUUGAAUUUCUUGAAAGAAUGAAGAAGGAAAGGGUUUCGCCCAGUAUUUUGACGUAUAAUACUGUUAUUAAUUCGUGUGCGAGAGGUGGGUUAGAUUGGGAGGGUCUGCUAGGUUUGUUUGCCGAAAUGAGGCAUGAAGGAAUACAACCUGAUAUUGUCACAUAUAAUACUCUGCUUUGUGCUUGUUCUAAUAGGGGAUUAGGGGAUGAGGCAGAGAUGGUAUUUAGGACAAUGAAUGAAGGAGGGGUUGUGCCUGAUAUAACAACAUACACUUAUCUUGUUGAUACUUUUGGGAAAUUGAAUAGGUUAGACAAGGUUAGUGAAUUGCUCAAGGAGAUGGCUUCUACUGGCAAUGUACCUGAGAUUUCAUCGUAUAAUGUGUUAUUAGAGGCAUAUGCAAGAAUAGGGAAUAUUGAGGAUGCUACGGGGGUGUUUCGGCUGAUGCAAGAAGCGGGAUGUGUGCCCAAUGCAGAGACGUAUAGUAUAUUGUUGGGUUUGUAUGGGAAGCAUGAGAGGUAUGAUGAAGUAAGAGAGCUAUUUUUGGAGAUGAAAGUGAGUGACACGGAGCCUGAUGCAGCUACAUAUAAUACACUUAUAGAUGUAUUUGGUGAGGGUGGGUAUUAUAAGGAGGUGGUGACAUUGUUUCAUGAUAUGGCGGAGGAAAAUGUUGAGCCCAAUAUGGAAACUUAUGAGGGGUUGAUAUUUGCUUGUGGGAAAGGUGGGCUACAUGAUGAUGCUAAGAAGAUUUUACUUCAUAUGAGUGAAAAGGGGAUGAUACCAAGUUCAAAGGCAUGUACUGGAGUUAUUGAAGCAUAUGGACAAGCUGCGAUGUAUGAGGAAGCUCUUGUGAUGCUUAAUACUAUGAAUGAAAUGGGCAGCAAGCCAACGAUUGAGACUUACAAUACACUGAUUUACAUGUUUGCAAGAGGUGGGUUAUACAAGGAAACUGAAGCUAUUUUGUUGAAAAUGGGUGAUUUUGGGGUUGCUAGGGACAGGGAUUCUUUCAAUGGUGUGAUUGAAGGCUUUAGACAAGGCGGUCAGUUUGAAGAAGCUAUUAAGGCUUAUGUUGAGAUGGAAAAAUCUAGAUUAAUUCCUGAUGAACGGACACUUGAGGCAGUCUUAAGUGUUUAUUGCAUAGCGGGUCUUGUUGAUGAGAGUGUGGAGCAAUUUCAGGAAAUUAAAGCAUUGGGAAUAUUGCCGAAUGUCAUGUGCUAUUGUAUGAUGCUGGCUGUUUAUGCUAAGAGUGACAGAUGGAAUGAGGCCUAUGAGCUUCUUGAUGAGAUGCUAACGAAUAGGGCGUCAAAUAUCCAUCAAGUGAUUGGGCAGAUGAUCAAGGGAGAUUUUGAUGAUGACUCUAACUGGCAAAUGGUAGAGUAUGUUUUUGACAAACUUAAUUCUGAAGGGUGUGGCUUGGGAAUGAGGUUUUAUAAUACACUUCUAGAAGCACUAUGGUGGCUCGGCCAGAAAGAACGGGCUGUGAGGGUUCUUGGUGAAGCAACGAAGAGAGGGCAUUUCCCUGAACUUUUCCGUAAAAGCAAACUUGUGUGGUCUGUGGAUAUUCACAGGAUGUGGGAAGGAAGUGCAUACACAGCAAUAUCUGUCUGGCUCAAUAACAUGUACAAGAUGUUCAUGAAUAGAGAGGAUAUUCCCCAACUUGCAUCAGUCAUUGUGGUACGGGGACUGUUGGAGAAAAGCUCAGUUGCACAAGAUUUUCCAAUUGGGAAGGCUGUACAUUCGUUUCUGCAGGAUAUUGUGCCAUCUUCAUUUUCUUACUCUGGAUGGAACAAAGGUCGAAUUACCUGCCAACGUUCCCAGCUCAAGCGCUUUCUGUUGGGAACAGAAUCAGUUUCAGAUGGGACCAAGAAAGAUAAAUUCAUUAUGUUAACUAACUCCCCUCUUUCUCUUGCUGGAGCAAGAACAUCGAGUGAUAUUGAGACUAGCCAACACAACAAAUCCAAUUCUGGAGCUAGAAUGGGAACCAGUACAGAGCUUAUGACAAGCACAGUUUAAGUCGAUAUGCAUAAUCCGUUCAUCAGUUUUCAGGGCCUGGAAAAUCUGCAUCCCGUAUUCCAGUUAAAAGAGCUAUGAGCCAAGGAUUGAUCUGUUGCUGUUUUUUUCUUUUUUAAUGUGUCCACACGUGGAAAUCAACAAAGUGUUUGCGGAGGUCAAUAUCAACAACCACAUUGCUGGAAUAAAGUAGAAAGUGGGACGUGGUGUAACAUCAAGUUCCUUGGUUCGAUAGUGGGGAGAGCUCGGAUGAUGAAAAGGAUUACUAGUUUUGUAGCAGUAGAUUAAUUUCUCACAUCUGCAACUUGAAGAGGCAGAGAGAAGAAGAGGAGGUGCCUUCCAUGAGGAUAGAGAGGCAAAGCAAUGUAGCUGGCUAAUUCAAAUGCAUUUCUCUUACUUUAAUGAAUGGGAAUUUGUCACUCAUGUCGAAUGGAAUGUAUUGUUAACGAUUUGAUCAAUAAACGAAGUGCUGGAAUCUCCAGUUUCUUGCAUUUUUGCCCUAAAAUGUUUAAACAGUUGACAACAGAUGAAAUUGGCAUUCGCAGAAGCGAGCUCCCUCGAAUUGUUAAAAUAUGUUUGCGUUGGACACUGAUGCUGCUUCAUGGAGUUUUUGGCACAGGAUGAAUUUCUUCAAGGAAGCUCUUCUGAGUUUCCAUUCCUGUUAGAUGUUUAUAAGCUUCUUUGUAGUUAUUUGUUGAACAUCCAUGGUGCCUGCAACUUUGUCUUUUCUGUGAGAGAUGUAAAAGAAACUUUAUUUUCAUUUUGCGUCUCUUGUAUUUUGUUGAAGCAUAUUUGGAGGGUUACAAGCUAAGUUUAACGCAA